rnacentral:rRNA from 1 species
AUUGAACGCUGGCGGCGGGCCUAACACAUGCAAGUCGAGCGGCAGCACUUCGGGUGGCGAGCGGCGGACGGGUGAGUAACACGUAGGAAUCUACCUAGUAGUGGGGGAUAGCCCGGGGAAACUCGGAUUAAUACCGCAUACGCUCUACGGAGGAAAGGGGGCUUCGGCUCUCGCUAUUAGAUGAGCCUGCGUCGGAUUAGCUAGUUGGUGAGGUAAAGGCUCACCAAGGCGUCGAUCCGUAACUGGUCUGAGAGGAUGAUCAGUCACACUGGAACUGAGACACGGUCCAGACUCCUACGGGAGGCAGCAGUGGGGAAUAUUGGACAAUGGGGGAAACCCUGAUCCAGCCAUGCCGCGUGUGUGAAGAAGGCC